CCUAUGGCUAUGAAGAAGCCCUUUCUUUUUUUCCUUUUUUUUUCCCCAUUCCUGAUGUUUGUUUACUCAUCCAAGUCUCUAGCUUGAGGAUCAUUUGUGGCUUCUUCUUCGAGCAUAUUAUGAGUUGGCGGAUCUCGGUCAGUGACUGGGUGCUCAGGUGAUCAUACUUGAAAAGGUCAACGAGCUCUUGAGUUGAGAGUCUUUUGAGAGCGAAGUGAUGCUCGAGAAUUCCAUUCAUGCUUGCUGCUCUGCUUAGGCUUAAAUGUUCUAAGCAUGUUCUUUCCAACCAAUCAAUACUCAAUUUGAUUGCCUGCGGUUUUGGAGACUGCGGAAGAUGAUCAGAUGACGCUCGAGGCGCCAGACUAAUCCGCACUGAUGACCCGAGUCAAAUUCAUACCAGGUUGAAUCGCCGGCUCGUUGACUAGUGAUUUAACCGGGGGUUUGUUGCUUAACUGGUUUAAUUAGCAACCCAGCCCAGUUCUAUGGCCAGUUCGAUCGCCGGGCCGGCCCAACCUAUGGCUGAUAGGUAGCUUAAUGCCUUUAAGGACCA